rnacentral:rRNA from 1 species
UACGGAGGGUGCAAGCGUUAUCCGGAUUCACUGGGUUUAAAGGGAGCGUAGGUGGGAAUGUAAGUCAGUGGUGAAAUCUCCGUGCUUAACACGGAAACUGCCAUUGAUACUAUGUUUCUUGAAUUAUCUGGAGGUCAGCGGAAUAUGUCAUGUAGCGGUGAAAUGCUUAGAUAUGACAUAGAACACCAAUUGGCGAAGGCAGCUGGCUACAGGUGGAUUGACACUGAGGCACGAAAGCGUGGGGAUCAAACAGG